rnacentral:rRNA from 1 species
GAUGAACGCUGGCGGCGUGCCUAAUACAUGCAAGUCGAGCGAACGGACGAGAAGCUUGCUUCUCUGAUGUUAGCGGCGGACGGGUGAGUAACACGUGGAUAACCUACCUAUAAGACUGGGAUAACUUCGGGAAACCGGAGCUAAUACCGGAUAAUAUUUUGAACCGCAUGGUUCAAAAGUGAAAGACGGUCUUGCUGUCACUUAUAGAUGGAUCCGCGCUGCAUUAGCUAGUUGGUAAGGUAACGGCUUACCAAGGCAACGAUGCAUAGCCGACCUGAGAGGGUGAUCGGCCACACUGGAACUGAUACACGGUCCAGACUCCUACGGGAGGCAGCAGUAGGGAAUCUUCCGCAAUGGGCGAAAGCCUGACGGAGCAACGCCGCGUGAGUGAUGAAGGUCUUCGGAUCGUAAAACUCUGUUAUUAGGGAAGAACAUAUGUGUAAGUAACUGUGCACAUCUUGACGGUACCUAAUCAGAAAGCCACGGCUAACUACGUG